rnacentral:tRNA from 1 species
GGGGAUACAGCUCAGCUAGUACAGUGCUUGUCUUGUAAGCAUAAGGCCCUGGGUUCAAUCCCCAAUACCACCA